UCGGGGUCACCGUGGGGCCGGGGCUCUGCAGGUUCUGCGCGCUGGGGCUCCUCUGCUCUGACGUCCGUGGGUCUGGGGGCUGCUCGGGGGGCUGCUGGCGCUCCGGGGACAGGGUGAAGCUGCCCUGCAGUUCGACGGGGCAGGAGUACUGCAGGAAGGGGUCCCCAAGGAAGGGGUUGGCGUACAUGUUCACGGGUAUGGCUGCGGAGACAGACACGGUGCUCGCGGUCCCUGCGGCCACCAGCCCCGUGCCCCGUGCCCCCAGCACCUCCCGUCCCCAUCCUGCAAGCGGGGGCACACCCUGAGGGGUGAGGGGACAGGGACGGGGACCCCGGGAGCUGCUGCCUCCACCUGGGUGCUGCGGGGCUGCGGGGGCUGCAGGACGCCCCCACGGGUGGGCACAGCGCGGGGGCUACGGGGUGGGGGUGGCGCAGGGAGCCCUGUCUGGGGGUGCCCACGGGGAAGGGUCCGGCCGGGGGUCCCACACGCGCCCCAGGCCCUGCGGUUACACUUGUUCCUGGUGGCGACGGGGAAGAACGCGGGGCCGAUCUCCGUGCCGCUGAGGGACGGCUCAGGCGUGGUGCCGUGCGGCUGCAGGUUGAACCACAUGGGUGAUAGCGGCGCGCUUUGGUUCUGUGCCGGCUCCCUGUCCCGCGCUGCGCUCGCUGCGGGAGGGGGGCAGGUUUUAAGCCCUGGUCCCCCCUCCCCAGCAGCCGGCUCGCCGCGGUGCCGGCCGCCCCUGACCUGCGGUGCCGCCGGGGAGGUCUGCGGGGCCGUCGCGGGGCGUGGAGGUGAGCAGGGGCUGGAUGCUGGGGUGGCCGCGCAGGACGUGCCGCAGCUGCUGGUGCUCCCUGAUGAGGUUGACCACGCGAGCCAGCUCCUCGUUCUCCGCCAGCAGCGCCUGGAUCUCGUGCCGCAGCUGGUCGUAGCAGGCGAAGACGGAGAGCCCGGCGCGCGAGGGGCGGGUGGCGAGCAGCGGCUGCAUGGCCCCCUGCCCCGGCCCCCCGAUGGGUGAGGGGGCCGGGGGGCUGCUCCCGCCGGGCAUGGGGAGCCCCUCGAGGUGGUGGUCAGGCAGGGGAGGAUGGUGCCAGCCGCUGCCGGGGCGUCUCCAUCCCGGGGCACGCGUGGUUCCGAGGGGGAUGUCACAGAGGACCCCCCCCCGGUGCGUGCCCACCCCCCCAGCACCAUGGUGCUGGGUCCCGGCAGGCGCCCGAACAGCCCCUGCGAGGAGGGUAUGGGCAGCACCCGCGGGGCACGGGGUUGCUGGGGGCUGGUGGGGGGGUGUGGGGAGGGUGGGGAGGGUCGUGGCUGUGGUUUUAUGGCUGUGGUUAUGGCUGUGGUUAUGGCUAUGGCUGUGGUUAGGGUUGUGGUUGUGGUUGUGGUUAGGGCUAUGGCUAUGGUUGUGGUUGUUAUGGUUAUGUUUUUUUUGGCUAUGGUUCUGGUUGUUGUCAUGUUUAUGGCUUUAUGGAUAUGGUUUUGGCUGUGGCUGUGGUUAUGGCUGUGGUUAUUGUUGUGGUUAUGGCUGUGGCUGUGGUUACGGUUAUGGCUGUGGCUAUGGCUAUGGCUGGGGGGAGCUACACCCACCGCCCCGCAGCCCCCUUGUGCCACACAGGGUGCGCAGUGUGUGGCACGGUGCGGUGCCUGCGGGUGCCGCAUCGCAGCCGCGCUCGAGGCCGGUGCAGAGAGGCCGACCCCCCUCCAUCUCCUUCCCCCACCCCGCAGGAGGACCCCCCCGUUGCCAGCCCACCAUGAAGUGCUGCAGCCACUGCCCGGGCAGCGGCGUGCCGGACCCCGAUGCGCGGCCACCCACCUCCUGUGGGAGCCCCUCCUGCUGCCUCGACCCCCGGGGGGGCUGCACCGGCAGCCCCCUGCCCUGCCCCGGCCCCGCCAAGCACCCCGGCAGCCCCAGCGCGUCCGCACGCUCUGCCGAGAGCCUGGGGGGCUCCGUGGGCUCUGCCGACGCCGCCUCGUCCGCCGGCAGCACCAGCCUGAAGCCGGGCGUGGAGGAGGCGCUGGGCACCAUGCUGGCCGCCUCCUGCACGCUCAGCCCGAAGCCGGCGUCGGCGCUGGGCCCCGCCAUCGACCGCUCCUUCAUCACCACCAGCCUGGCCGCCCAGAUGCUGGAGGAGUUCCUGACGAAGCAGGUGCCGGCGGCGGCCACCGAGGUGUCCCCGGACGUCCCCGAGGAGAGCAACCGGCAGGGCCCCGUGGCCCCCACCGCCUCCCUGGAGAGGCUGCGCCGGCACAACCGCCGCUUCCAGCGGGCCAAGGCGCGCUUCCAGGGCCACGGCGAGAUCCCGGUCCAGGCGCUGCUGCCGGGGCUGGAUGGGGGCGGUGGGACAGCCCCCCGCCACGGCACCCGGCCCGAGCCACGCCACGGCCCCCCCUGGGACAGCCACGGGUGCCGCGGGCAGGGCGGCGAGGUGCUGUGCCGCGGCACCACCUGGCACGCCGUGCACGGCUGCUGCGGCACUGUGGAGGUGCUGAGCGGCGCCUGCCCCUGGGAGCGGGAUGGUGGAGCCGCGGCGUGCCGGGAGUGCGGGUGCAGCUGGGGGCUGCCCGGGCCCCCGGUGCCCCCCGUGCCGUGGCUGAGGCAGCGGGACGUGCACGGCUGGGCCACGCACACCACCACCGCCUGCACCACGCUGGGCCACGAGUCCCGGAGCUGCCACGGAGCCGCCACCGCCGUGCUCAGGGCGGGGAGGGUCCCGCACUGCGAGCCCCCCGCCGACAACCAGGGCCCCCCCGGGAUGCCGAGCUGCAGCCACGCAGAGCCGGGCACCAGCGCCCUGCGUGGCUGCGGCUGCGCCCCCCACUGCAGCCGGGGCAGGAGCGUGGAGGAGCCGUGCCGGGAGCCGGACGGGGAGCGGAGCCGCCUCCGGCGCCGGGAGCCAGCGGGGACCCUGGUGCGGGGCAGGGACCCCGGGGGGGAGCCGGAGGGCCCGGUGGCCUGGGCGCCCCCCCAGCAGCGCCUGGGUGCCAUGAACACGGUGCAGCUCAUCGCCAAGACCUUCGAGCUGCGGGCGCAGCGCGACGCCGCGCAGGCUGAGCGCGACCGGCAGCCCCCGUUCUGUCGCAGGGGGGGGACACUGGAAACCUGCCCCCCGGAGCCACGGGGACCCUGCUCCCCGGGGUGCUGCAGGGGGCUCCCCCGGGCCCGGGGCUCGCU
rnacentral:lncRNA from 1 species